AGCGUUAUUGAACCGAUAUAAUCGCGACGUAAUUGAACGUAUUGUAUCUAAAGUCCUUCGAAUCGUCACGGUCCACGAUAACCGUGGUGCAACCUCUUUAGCGCGCAUAAUUACUUAUUCGUAUACUGUACGGCGCAUUUUCGGUCGGUAUUAUUAUUACGUAUUAUUAAUAACCCGUGUACGCGUGCGAGAAUUCGUGUUUCGUUUCUACGACGAAAUACAUUUCAAAUACACGUUACGUAAAUGUUUCCGAAACCCCCCCCCCCGCGAAUUAUUUUCAUAAAGUUAUGGCCGUGUCUAGAUGGUGAUUGCCG